UUUUUAUUUUUGAAAUCUUAGAAACUAUAGUUAAACAAUCAGAAGAGAACUGAAAAUAUCUAUAAUUACUACUGCACCAUUGACAUUGAUUUGUAUAACUUCCAGGUCCUUCUGAGAAUACGUUUUGAUGUAGGCAUAACAUUAUUAAGUAGAUAAGCUUCACAUUCUUAUUCCGAGAAGAUCCCUUGGAAAAUACGGGGGUUAGAAGAAAAAACAAAUGCUUUUGGGUUUCAGCAGCAUUAAUAUCAAACUGACUGUUCACAAAAGUUCUGCCACUUGAAUAUCGCUUUAGCCAUUUUUUGCAAAACAAUAAAAAAAAAAAAAAAAGAACGAGAAAAAAGAGAAAGUGUGUGCCGUGUGCCAGGCUGCUGUGAUGCAAAUACCGUCAGUCGACAUAAAGUAAUGGCCAGAAUGAAAACCCCAAACACAUAUGGCUGGUAGAAUAUCUGUGGCUAAUAAUUAUUUUUAAGGUUUUUUUUGAGAGAGAGAGCGCACACACGCAUAAAUAAAACAUUGAAAAAUAACAGUAAGUCCUUUUGAACUUACUUUGCUUAAGAAGUAGUGGACCAAAGGGAAACAUUCAAAUAUCAUCUGGAUUGAAUCUAAACCAAACUCAUAGUCCUUUUGAAUUUCUGCUUUGAGGAUCUGUGAGACUGAAGCAGGGUUUUCCACAUUCGCAGAGAUAGAUGAAGGGUUUCUGGGUCAUGCUGUGAGCGUAACUGGUCAUCAGAGGAAGUGGUACAGUCUGUCCGUAGGCUAGAACACACAGAGCGAUCUCUACGUGCACUUUGUAUCUGGUGCCGCAAAGGCUUUAGGGAUAUGGGGUGAACAACACAGAAAUGCAUUCCACCCUCCUUGAGUUCACUGUCCAGUGAGAUGACCAUUAAACAAACAAGUACUUAGUCCCAAAGGAGAACAAAUGACUUCAGUAGUGAAUAACUGAAGAGCCAAUCUUUGUCUCCAACCUUCAGAUGAAACCUCCCGGAGGAUCCAGUGGAAUGCCAAAGGUGAAGGAGGAGUUGGUCCCCACCUCAGCCCUUCCCCAGAACUUCUGGCAAGAGGCAACAGAACACCAAAGGCUCAGAGGCAGACAUUCACAAAACUAUAGGAAGACCUCUGUGGCUAAAGAAUAAGUGAAGGAGAGAUGGAGAGCUACACUCUCUGAAGGAGCCUGAUCAAAAGUGUGAAAGGAAGACCAGUCGUGUUCUCAAUUUCUUCAUUUCCAGGGAAGAGAUCUGACACAAGUGUGCACUGGCCUGGAUCCGCCUCCUCUUGGUUAAGGAGCCAUCUCUACAGUCAUCCUCUGUUCUGGGCAGUGGCAAGUGUGGAUUUUCUUAGCCCAGGCCAGCUGACCUCAGACAGCAGCGUUAUCUGCGGAGACCGACCCCAACCUGCUCUUGGCACGCCGACAUGUUGACAACACCUCUUCUUCUGCUGCUGGAAGCAGAUACAGUCUGCAAACACCAUCACACCAUCAUGAGAAUUCUCUCGGCCUCUUCCCACACCACGGACCCGUCCACACAGCAUUACCAUCAGGCAGGCAAGCUGAGGCAGCGAGAAUCUGCUUAUGCUGACAGCCGACACGUGGGUGGGUAGGCACCGUGCCCUAGAAGCAAGUACUAUUAAGGCUUAAGGAUGCAUGCUUGAAUUUAUAUAUUUGUAUAAGAUCAACCCCCCUCCUUCCUUUGUUCUGUCUCUGCGCUCCCUCAUUUCCCUUGAAUCUCUUUCAUGAUGGUGGUACAAUAGUACCUACUCCAGGGUGCUGUUAGGCAAGGAUUUCUACUUCUUCCCAUUAGCAUUUCAUUGUUCCAUAGGUUUUAGGUGUUCCUGUGCCCUGCUAGCCUGAGGACACCAGAAACUGUUCCAAUGGUCACUUCUAGCAGUUAGUGUUUACUACAUAACACAUUGCCCCUUGAUGGCUUAAAAUAACAACCAGUUUUUAGCUCACAACUCUGCCGUUUGGCCAUUUGGACUGAGUGUAUGUAGAUAGUUCUGGCUGGGGAUUCGCUGGUUGAAGGGCCUCAGUUGAAAUGGCUUAUCUCUACUUUGCACAGUUUCUCAUCUUCCAGCAGGCUAUCCCAGAAUGGUCACCUGGUGACUGCAGUUUUCCAAGAACAAAACAUCGGAAGUUGCAAGGCCUCUUCCCCCCACCCCUAGUUUUGUUGAGAAAUAAUUGGCAUAUAUCAUUAUAUAAGUUCAAGGUGUAGCACAUGAUGGUUUAAUUUACAUAUGUCAUGAAAUGAGCACCACAAUAGGUUUAGUUAAUAUCCAUCUUCUCAUAUAGAUACAAUAAAAAGAAAAAAAUUCUUACAACGAGUGUUCUUAGGAUUUACCGUCUUAACGAUUUUCCUAGAUAUCAUCCAGCAGCGUAGCUAAAGUCAUCAUGUACAUUACAUCCCUAGUGCUUAUCUAUCUUACUACUGGAGGUUUGUACCUUCUGACCACCAAUUCCCUCUCCCUUCCCUCUUGCCUCAAGCAGCUACAAGGCUUUUUCCAUAUCUCUUUUCUUACGAGUUUGAUUUUUUAAAAUUUUUCAUUAGAGUCUACGUAUAAGUGAGAUCAUACAGGAUUUGUCUAUCUCUGACUUAUUUCACUUAGCAUAAUUUCUUCAAAGUCCAUCCGUGUGUUGUAGAUGAUAAGACUUCCUUUUUUUAUGGCUUACUAACCUUCCAUUUUACACACACACACACACACACACACACACACACACACACAUAAGUAUGCGUGUGGGCCACCUCUUCUUUAUCCAUUCAUCCAUCAGUGGACACUUAGGUUAUUUCCAAGUCUUGGCUAUUGCAAAUAAUGCUGCUAGGAACAUGUCGAUGCAGAUAUAGUUUCAAGUUAGUGUUUUCAUUUCCUUUGGAUAUAUUCCCAGAAGUGGAAUGGCUGGAUCAUACAGUAGGUCUAUUUUUAAUUUUUUGAGGAAACUCCAUACUGGUUUCCAUAGUAGUUGCACCCAUUUCCAAUUCCACCAACAGUGCACAAGGGUUCCCUUUUCUCCACACCCUCACCAGCACUUGCUAUCUCUUGUCUUUUUGAUGAUGGUCAUUCCAGCAGGCAUGAGGUAAUGACUCAGUGUGGUUUUAAUUUGCAUUUCCCUAAUGACCAGUGAUAUUGAGCAUCUUUUUAUGUACCUGUUGGCUUUUUGUAGUUUUUCUAUGGAAAAAUGCCUCUUCAGGUCCUUUGACCAUUUUUUUUAAGUUGGAUUAUUUGUAUUUUUAACUAUUGAGUCGUAUGAGUUCUUUGUGUAUUUUGGACAUUAGCCCCUUAGGUAGUUUGCAAAUAUUUCCCCCAUUCUGUAGGUUAUCUUUUCACUUUGUUGAUGGUUUCUUUUGCUGUGCAGAAGCUUUUGAUGUGGUCUCAAUUUAUUUUUGAUUUUGUUGCUUGUGCUCUAGGUGUGGUUUCCAAAAACUCACUACCAAGGCCCAUGUCAAAGAGUUUUGUUUGUUUUCUUUUAGGAGUUUCAAG